CAGUAGAGUAAUCACAUAAAAAAGGCUCCACCCCCGAGGAGCACUUCUACUAUUGCAUAAUGACAUGGGUGCUGAUUGCAUAGCACUGAUUAUAUGAGCUAGGGUGUAUCAUGUUUUUGUUUUGGUUUGUGACCCAGAAGAUAAGGACCUGAACUCAUUCCUGGAUUGACCCUUGCUUUUUAAGUUUAUUUUUAUCGGGAAAGGUAAAACUUUGGUUUUAAGGGAAUGAUG